rnacentral:rRNA from 1 species
AACGAACGCUGGCGGCAGGCUUAACACAUGCAAGUCGUACGUGAAAGUCUUUCGGGAUGAGUAAAGUGGCGCACGGGUGAGUAACACGUAGGUGACCUGCCUUUUAGAGGGGAAUAACCAGAAGAAAUUUUGGCUAAUGCCGCAUACGAAGCACAAAUCUUAGAGUAGUGCCUGAAAGAAUGCCUCUGCAUAUGCAUUCACUAAAAGAUGGGCCUGCGGAACAUUAGCUAGUUGGUGGGGUAAAGGCCUACCAAGGCAACGAUGUUUAUCCGGUCUGAGAGGAUGAUCGGACACACUGGAACUGAGACACGGUCCAGACUCCUACGGGAGGCAGCAGUGGGGAAUAUUGCGCAAUGGGGGAAACCCUGACGCAGCAACGCCGCGUGAGUGAGGAAGGACUUCGGUCUGUAAAGCUCUGUUAAUGAGGAAAAAUGGUAGUUGGUCUAAUAGGCCGAUUAUUUGAUGGUACUCAUAGAGGAAGCACCGGCUAACUUCGUGCCAGCCGCCGCAGUAAUAC